AGAUUGAACGCUGGCGGCAGGCCUAACACAUGCAAGUCGAGCGGUAGAGAGGUGCUUGCACCUCUUGAGAGCGGCGGACGGGUGAGUAAUGCCUAGGAAUCUGCCUAGUGGUGGGGGAUAACGUUCGGAAACGGACGCUAAUACCGCAUACGUCCUACGGGAGAAAGCGGGGGACCUCCGGGCCUCGCGCCAUUAGAUGAGCCUAGGUCGGAUUAGCUAGUUGGUGAGGUAAUGGCUCACCAAGGCGACGAUCCGUAACUGGUCUGAGAGGAUGAUCAGUCACACUGGGACUGAGACACGGCCCAGACUCCUACGGGAGGCAGCAGUGGGGGAAUUUUGGACAAUGGGCGCAAGCCUGA
rnacentral:rRNA from 1 species